AAUUCAUAACUGUCCAAAUGAUUUUUCAUCUUCUAAAAUUUCAACAAUCAAGAUUUUGUCUUUGCUUCUUUCGUUGUGCAUAAACUAAACUAGUAGUCAUAACUCAUUUGUCAUUUGUGCACAAAAACAAAGAUACCCAUAGAAGUUAGAACGUCCAAACUCAUUGCUGGCAGAUACAGAAAAAGUAAUCAAUUAAAAAAAUCAAAAGUCACACUUAUUAGUAUCAAGUGAAAGAAUGAGGGCUAGGAGGCAGAAUAAAUAGGACAAUUCGGCUUCAAAACUCAUGACAAUUAGAUAUUGGUAGUCUCUGCUCAAAUCCUGGCCCAAGUCAAACUAUGCUUUGGCCCUGAAAAUGAAGGCACAAUACAAUUUUUAUACGCAAUGUCAAGCUGUACAAUAUUAUUGAGUAAUAUACAAUUUCAUACCCAAAAGGAGGAACUUGAGUUGAUCAAGUGUGUGCAAGUGCAAAUUGGUCCCCAGAUCAGUCAACUUCAGGACAAAUUAGUCCUUCUCUAACAAUUUGUUCUUAAAUUUGUAUAGUUCAUGAUACUUUAGUUGCCAUAUACUAUGAUCAAGUUCACGUUGAAAGGAAUAAUUUGUUGCGUAGUUGCCAAAUUCAGAAACCAAAUUACAUACACACAAUUUUAGAAAACAAAACAAAAGUUGACUUGAGAAUGAAAUUGUAUAUUUACUCAAUUAUAUAUCAAAUAAUAAUUUUUAUACAUUAGAAAAUCAAACUCAAAACAUGAUCACUGGAGCCUACAGUACCAAAGGCCAUGGUGAUCAAUUUUUAACUUGAUUUUCCUGUGUAAAGCACGUGUGAUAUAUUAUUGAUUUUAAAAGUUUUAUUUCUUUAAUUUAUUAUUAUCAAAUAAAAUAAAAUAUUUAUUAUUAAUAGUAAAUAUAAAUUUGGUUCAAGCUUACGGAAAAAUAAUGGUAAUGAUUCCAAGUAGAAUCACAAUUUAAAAAAAUCUAUCUACCUAAAGAAUGUCUUUCAUUAUACAGGAUAUAAAUUUAUUGAAGAAAAUAGAUACAAAGGGAUGAGGUACGAUUAAGAGAUAAGAUAAACUGUCUUAAUAAAGGGACAGAAGAGGUAACAACAAUCAAGCAUGUCAAUCCAAGAGAGUUGAUGAUGCUUAACAAUAUAAAAAGUAUCACUAAUUUUAGUAUCAAGUUCUUUGAAUUAGAUUAUACCACACCAACUAACCUUUCUAUAUAGGAGUCAAGCUCUAUAUUAACAACUAUGGCAUCACCAGCUACAAUGUGAGAUGGUACCUGUUUCAUACAAAACUCGUCUCUCAAAUUUUGUUAACCUCAUUGUAAAGGGACAUCAAAAUAAACCCAUGUACUAACAUAAAAGAAAUUCCCAAAGAAAUACAGGUUGACAUUUAGAAAAAAAAAUAUAAAUGUUGCUUGCAACUAUUGCAUGAAAUAAUUAGAUUUUCAAAGGCAGUUCCACAUCUGAGUAACUUUUUGCCAAUUAUUUACGGAUAAGUGCAGUAUGAAAAAUAAAGAAUCAUUUGACUUCGGCCGUUGUCCAGUACUACCUUUUUAUUCCUUAAAUCAAGAAGGAAAAAACAUUAGGAAAAUAAUUUUAAAUUUUAUAGGGCAAAGAAUGCAGAUCACCGAGAAACUUAGAUUUUCAAUCUAAGUUUACUUCCAUCAUUGAUAUGUAUAACAAUCUCAGAUGCGAAUUACCAGUAUGUAAAUAUUUACUGAUACAGAAACAGAUAAAUAAUCAGACACUAAAAAAUAAUCAGCGUCCUCCCACAAAUUGAGAACUAAGCAUUCCAAAAAAUUUUACUAGUGUAUGACUUAGAACGUAAUUUAUAACUAGUUAUACUUAUUGUCGUUCAGAUGGAGCAAGAAAGCAAACAAUUUAGGGACUAAUCUAAUAAAAUCUUUUGGAUACCUAAAACUUCCUCUAAGGUCAAGACUUCUGUAGGGGCAGAAUUACUUGAUAAGUUAAAAAGAAAUGAUUGUAUACAAAUUGAAGAUUUCACACUACUCUCACCUGUCACGUGUGUUAUGUAACUACCCAAGCUCUAAACAUUGGAAAAUUAUUCUUCGACUACAAAGCAGAUAAUUUCCUUCAAAUUAACCUUCACAGACAAUUUCUUUCCCUUAAAUUUGCUUUGGGAUUGGGAUAGGAUUGUGUUCUUAUGUUAUCUUUGGUUGUCUGCCCAUGGAUGCUUUAAGGGAGUUACCAUUCUAAGCAAUCAGAGAGAUUUGGUAGUUCUUUGUGUUUCCAAAAAUUUAGGCUUUAGAGGACACCUUAUCGCAAUUUUCAAGUUCCAACUUUCAUAAUACUUUCUUUCUUUAUCUUUUUUUUUCAAAGGUCCUUCUCUUAUUACAAUUCUAUUUUUGUCAAAAGACAUUUGCACUAGGGAAUUGAACUACAACAAAACCUAAAACAGGUAAAAAAACACUUCUUCUUCUGUCCUGUUUCUUGCUUUCUGGGUUUACAUCUGCUACCUACAUGUUAUUUUUUCAAUACAAUCCAAGUGAGUGUAUACAUAGCAACCAGCUUCAUAUAUACUCCCUCCACUCCUUUUUAUAAGACCCUUUUCAAAAAAUUAUUUGUCCGUUUUUAUAAGAUUAUUUUCUAAUAUUAUGUUGCAUUAAUUAUUUUUUCCUAAAAUACCCAUAAUUAAUUAAAAAUUUAUUUAGCCAAAAAAAAUAAUAAAUGCUGAAAAUUAAUAAGAUAAACUCUUUUCCUCUCUCUUAUUAGGAUUAGAGAAAAUGAGUAGCAAUUAGGUAAGAAGCAAUUAAGUAAGAAAGAAAAAUUAAUUUUAUAAAAAAUAAGGGUAAUUUUGGAAGAACAUUACAAAUUAACGACAAACUUAAUGUCACUAACUAUGUUAACCAAUUUUCUUAAAGGGUGUGAAUUACUUGAAAGGGUCUUAUAAAAAGGGAUGAAGGGAGUGCAUCUAUAAUAUUUGGGUUCAAGUAAAUUUACACAUAAAUCAAUAGAAGUCUUUUUUAGUUGGACAUAUAUGGUUUCAUUAUGGAGAAUAACUUGUAAGUGUACAAGCAUUUAUAAAAACAAAAAAGUAGUUAACUAUGACUACAUAAGUAAAUUUCUAUUGUCUAUAUACAACUCGCUUUCAUUCACUUUGGUUGCCACCUUUCUGAUAAAUGGAGUAAAAUAAGAAAGUUCUCAGAAUUAUGGAUGAAAGUUUCUUCUGCCAAGGAGGUUGUGCAGUAUACAAUCAAGGCAUACUAUAUUGUGCAACAAGGAGUUGAUUCUAUGUGUCAAAUUAUAUCUCAAAGAGGGUGCAGAAAGUGUGCAAAAAAUGAUUUUCUUAGACACAAUGACCAAAUAGCCUUCCCAUCAGUUUGCCUUUAGAAAUAAAUACAAUAGUAAUUACAUCAAAAGACAAACAUUACAUGAUAGUAUUCACUAAGCUAAUUCUCUUUUCCUUACUUAAGGCAGUUGGAUAUGUUGCAUCUGUGCACAUAAUACAAAUAUACAAUAUUCCAUUUCAAAUACAAAUUGAGGAAAAAGUAAACCUUGAUAGUGGCUUUUCCUCUUCCUUCAUGAUGAAGAAAAAGUGUUGGAUAACAAGAUUUAAUUGAUACUAUUUGACAUUAUAUUGGUAAAGUAAUAAGUAGUAAAAACCUCAUAAAAGCGCCCUGGAAGCAAACAUGUCCAGCACAACAAGAAUGCAAAGUGAAUUUGUUAGAAGGCAUAACAUAACUACACGUGCCAAAUUGAAUCAUAUCAUCAGUGUAAAAUUCAAUAACCCAAAAGACAAAGGAACCUUGUUUUCCAAUGAUAUUUCCGACUUUAAUCUGCACCGCAAGAGACAGUGAAGAAGCAUCUAUUUAAAUUCCAAUAAAAAUAAAUGAAAAUGGUAAAAAUUAAAGAGAAAAUAGGUGAUGCACUGACACCGUAAAGCAAUAGUACACCAUCAUUCAUUCGCAAACCACCAUGUAUGGUAAAUUUAUUGACUUCUACAAUAAUUAUCUUAAAAUUUGUACCAAUAGUUAUUUGUGAUUGAAUGACAGCGUAGUACAUAACCAUUAAACUCAAAGUUAAAAGAUGCAUACAUACAUUUGAUUCCACAACAUUGAGAGGCAGACCACCACGGGAGAGGUGAACAAGACGAAGAAAAAAGAAGAAGAAUGUAAACAGUAUGAAAGUCUGAAAAGAGACUUGGUGUGUAAAAAUUAAAGAAAUUCUGGUGUUAGCCAUUGAACUAAAUUAUCCCCUUUUCAGCUUAUGUAAUACUAAGAAUGCAAUGAAUAAUUGUUUUAUAAAACUUUACAUAGCUUAAGAUGGAAUUCAGAUUACUUCAUUGUUGCAAUUGUAGCAUACGCUAUAAUAAGUGAACUUGUUACAUGAACCAAAAGACAAAGGAACAAUCAUGAACCAAUCAGAAAGUAUAUCUAAAUUCUCAAUCACGAAGAAAAAAAAAAGGAUUGAGAAGAGAAAUUGUUACAUGAAUAUGGUUCGAAACGGGAAUUGACAGAGCUGCGAGAUGACGGAGAGAGAUUGGGACUUACAGCGUUUUUUUC
rnacentral:lncRNA from 1 species